UAGGGAAUCUUCCGCAAUGGACGCAAGUCUGACGGAGCAACGCCGCGUGAGUGAAGAAGGAGUUCGGUUCGUAAAACUCUGUUGUUAGAGAAGAACAGCGCAUAGAGUAACUGUUAUGCGUGUGACGGUAUCUAACCAGAAAGCCACGGCUAACUACGUGCCAGCAGCCGCGGUAAUACGUAGGUGGCAAGCGUUGUCCGGAUUUAUUGGGCGUAAAGCGAGCGCAGGCGGUCAAUUAAGUCUGAUGUGAAAGCCCCCGGCUCAACCGGGGAGGGUCAUUGGAAACUGGUUAACUUGAGUGCAGAAGAGGAGAGUGGAAUUCCAUGUGUAGCAGUGAAAUGCGUAGAUAUAUGGAGGAACACCAGUGGCGAAGGCGACUCUCUGGUCUGUAACUGACGCUGAGGUUCGAAAGCGUGGGUAGCAAACAGG
rnacentral:rRNA from 1 species